GAUUUCUGGUCCGAGGCAGUCGGCCCGCCGUGGUUUCACGCGUGAGUGCUGAUCCGCCUCUGCCAUCCUUCUAGCGUCGCGUCGCUCGCUUCAUUGCGGGCGACGCUGAUCUAGAUCGUUUACUUUGAACAAAUUAGAGUGUUUCAAGCAGGCUGCUGCCGUUGAAUACAUUAGCAUGGAAUAAUGAGUUAGGACUUCGGUUCUAUUUUGUUGGUUUCUAGAGCUGAAGUAAUGAUUGAUAGGGAUAGUUGGGGGUGCUAGUAUUCAGUGGCCAGAGGUGAAAUUCUCGGAUUCCCUGAAGACUAACUUCUGCGAAAGCAUU
rnacentral:rRNA from 1 species